rnacentral:rRNA from 1 species
UACGUAGGGGGCAAGCGUUGUCCGGAAUCAUUGGGCGUAAAGCGCGUGUAGGCGGUUCGGUAAGUCGGCUGUGAAAGUCCAGGGCUCAACCCUGGGAUGCCGGUCGAUACUGCCGGACUAGAGUUCGGAAGAGGCGAGUGGAAUUCCCGGUGUAGCGGUGAAAUGCGCAGAUAUCGGGAGGAACACCAAUGGCGAAGGCAGCUCGCUGGGACGUUACUGACGCUGAGACGCGAAAAGCGUGGGGAGCAAACAGG